rnacentral:rRNA from 1 species
GACGAAGGGGGCUAGCGUUGUUCGGAAUUACUGGGCGUAAAGCGCGUGUAGGCGGUUGCCCAAGUCGGGUGUGAAAGCCUUGAGCUCAACUCAAGAAAUGCACUCGGUACUGGGUGACUAGAGGACCGGAGAGGAUAGUGGAAUUCCCAGUGUAGUGGUGAAAUACGUAGAGAUUGGGAAGAACACCGGUGGCGAAGGCGGCAUCCUGGACCAACACUGACGCUGAUGAGCGAAAGCCAGGGGAGCAAACGGG